rnacentral:rRNA from 1 species
UACGUAGGUGGCAAGCGUUACUCGGAAUCACUAGGCGUAAAGCGCAGGUAGGCGGUUCGGUAAGUCUCUUGUGAAGCUCCCGGCUCAACUGGAGAGGUCAAGGAACUGCCGGGCUAGAGUGUGGCAGAGGAAGCUGGAAUUCCCGGUGUAGCGGUGAAUGCGUAGAUAUCGGGAGGAAUACCUAUGGUGAAAGCAGGCUUCUGGGCCGUCACUGGACACUGAUCUGCGAAGCUAGGG